CAACUACUCCCUCUGUCCCAAAUUUCUUGUCUUAGAUUUGUCUAGAUACAGAUGUAUCUAAUACUAAAAUGUGACUUGAUACAUCCGUAUCUAGACAAAUCUAAGACAAGAAUUUUGGGAUGGAGGGAGUACUUU
rfam:Triticum urartu cultivar G1812 contig27932, whole genome shotgun sequence.